rnacentral:rRNA from 1 species
AAAACUUGGGGCUUAACUCUGAGCUUGCGGUCGAUACGGGCAUGACUGGAGUUCGGCAGGGGAGACUGGAAUUCCUGGUGUAGCGGUGAAAUGCGCAGAUAUCAGGAGGAACACCGGUGGCGAAGGCGGGUCUCUGGGCCGAUACUGACGCUGAGGAGCGAAAGCGUGGGGAGCGAACAGGAUUAGAUACCCUGGUAGUCCACGCCGUAAACGUUGGGCGCUAGGUGUGGGGGCCAUUCCACGGUCUCUGUGCCGCAGCUAACGCAUUAAGCGCCCCGCCUGGGGAGUACGGCCGCAAGGCUAAAACUCAAAGGAAUUGACGGGGGCCCGCACAAGCGGCGGAGCNUGUGGAUUAAUUCGAUGCAACGCGAAGAACCUUACCUGGGUUUGACAUGCACCAGACAUCCCUAGAGANAGGGCUUCCCUUGUGGUUGGUGUGCAGGUGGUGCAUGGUUGUCGUCAGCUCGUGUCGUGAGAUGUUGGGUUAAGUCCCGCAACGAGCGCAACCCUUGUUCCAUGUUGCCAGCGCGUCAUGGCGGGGACUCAUGGGAGACUGCCGGGGUCAACUCGGAGGAAGGUGGGGAUGACGUCAAAUCAUCAUGCCCCUUAUGUCCAGG